GGCCGUGGCUUGGUGCCCACGGCUGCCCCUGUAUAUAAGGGGCGAAGUGCCCAGAAAGAAAAGAAAAAGAAAAGGAAAAGAAAGAAAAGAAGGAAAGGAAAGAGAGGAAGAAAGGAAAGAAUAGUGGAAGCUAAAGGGUCUUUGAUGGUGGAAAGGAAGAGUAAGGUAUUAAAGUUAAGGUGACAUGUCGUGACCAGCGUGUGGAGUAGGCACGAAGCACUUUUAUUGAUGUAUUUUUUUUAUGUAAAAAUCGGCCUUUUUGGUCAAUACCUUUUGUAAUAAAAAUAGAAACUCCAAUGAUUAUUUUAGUA